AGAUUGAACGCUGGCGGCAUGCCUUACACAUGCAAGUCGAACGGUAACAGGUCUUCGGACGCUGACGAGUGGCGAACGGGUGAGUAAUACAUCGGAACGUGCCCAGUCGUGGGGGAUAACUACCCGAAAGAGUAGCUAAUACCGCAUACGAUCUGAGGAUGAAAGCGGGGGACCUUCGGGCCUCGCGCGAUUGGAGCGGCCGAUGGCAGAUUAGGUAGUUGGUGGGAUAAAAGCUUACCGAGCCGACGAUCUGUAGCUGGUCUGAGAGGACGACCAGCCACACUGGGACUGAGACACGGCCCAGACUCCUACGGGAGGCAGCAGUGGGGAAUUUUGGACAAUGGCCGAAAGGCUGACCCAGCGACGCCGCGUGCGGGAGGAAGCCCUUCGGGGUGUAAACCGCUUUUGUACGGAACGAAAAAGCUUCUCCUAAUACGAGAGGCCCAUGACGGUACCCCCAGAAUAAGCGCCCGGCUAACUCCGUGCCAGCAGCCCGCGGUAAAGACGGAGGGCGCCAGCGUUAAUCGGAAUUACUUGGGCGUAAAGCGUGCGCAGGCGGUUAUAUAAGACAGAUGUGAAAUCCCCGGGCUCAACCUGGGAACUGCAUUUGUGACUGCAUGGCUAGAGUACGGUAGAGGGGGAUGGAAUUCCGCGUGUAGCAGUGAAAUGCGUAGAUAUGCGGAGGAACACCGAUGGCGAAG
rnacentral:rRNA from 1 species